UACGGGGGGGGCAAGCGUUGUUCGGAAUUACUGGGCGUAAAGGGCGCGGAGGCGGGUGGACAAGUCUCUCGUGAAAGCCCACGGCUCAACCGUGGAAUUGCGGGAGCUACUGGCUGUCUUGAGUCCGGGAGAGGAGGGUGGAAUUCCCAGUGCAGCGGUGAAAUGCGUAGAUAUUGGGAGGGACGCCGGGGGCGAAGGCGGCUCUCUGGACCUGUACUGACGCUGAGUCGCGAACGCUAGGGGUGCAAGCGAG
rnacentral:rRNA from 1 species